AACCUUUAAAAUUUGGACAGCAUACUCUCCUACAGUAGAGACGGCAGCCACUUCAAACCGAUUCUGAACCUGUUCCCUGAAAUAAAACAAACUCGCUCCAUUGACAUACAUAAAUUGUUUACGACUCAUUAAAAAGCAAAAUUGCAUAUCACGCGGCUGGCAGCUGGGUCCAUGCGGGUGGAAAGGGGGCAUUCACUCAUCUCUUUGUAUGCUGGCAGUACCAAACUGAAGUUUAGCAGUAGGCAGUGGCUGAGAUUGUUUUGUGCAGCCAGACGAUGCAUGAGGUUACUUGAUGAUCUUCAAGGCCUUCACAGAAUUGUUAAGUUAACCGCCCAUUGACAAGAAUGGAAGAGAGAUAGCGAAUUGGUGUAAAUCUACUAGAAGAAUAAAAAGUGAAUAAUAAUAAAACACAUUAGAU